CAUGGUAUGCACUGGCUCGCUGACUCCUCCUUCUUGUAGAACCGUAAUGCCAUUAAUUUGGUGUUGCGGGGAAACAGGACUGUUACUUUGAAAAAAUUAGAGUGUUUAAAGCAGGCUAACGUCUGAAUACAUUAGCAUGGAAUAAUGAAAUAGGACGGAUUGAUUCUAUUUCGUUGGUUUCUAGGGUCACCGUAAUGAUUAAUAGGGAUAGUUGGGGGCAUUAGUAUUCAAUUGUCAGAGGUGAAAUUCUUGGAUUUAUUGAAGACUAACUACUGCGAAAGCAUUUGCCAAGGAUGUUUUCAUUAAUCAAGAACGAAAGUUAGGGGAUCGAAGACGAUCAGAUACCGUCGUAGUCUUAACCAUAAACUAUGCCGACUAGGGAUCGGACGCAGUUAAUUUUAUAAUGACGUGUUCGGCACCUUACG
rnacentral:rRNA from 1 species